rnacentral:ribozyme from 1 species
AGUGAGGGGAUCGAUCUAAACUACUGGCUUGUUUCGUGCAAGUCACCGGUCCCAAGUCCGG